rnacentral:rRNA from 1 species
AUUGAACGCUGGCGGCAUGCCUUACACAUGCAAGUCGAACGGUAACAGGUCUUCGGUUGCUGACGAGUGGCGAACGGGUGAGUAAUACAUCGGAACGUGCCCGAUCGUGGGGGAUAACGAGGCGAAAGCUUUGCUAAUACCGCAUACGAUCUACGGUUGAAAGCGGGGGAGCUUCGGACUUCGCGCGGACGGAGCGGCCGAUGGCAGAUUAGGUAGUUGGUGGGAUAAAAGCUUACCAAGCCGACGAUCUGUAGCUGGUCUGAGAGGAUGAUCAGCCACACUGGGACUGAGACACGGCCCAGACUCCUACGGGAGGCAGCAGUGGGGAAUUUUGGACAAUGGGCGAAAGCCUGAUCCAGCCAUGCCGCGUGCAGGAUGAAGGCCUUCGGGUUGUAAACUGCUUUUGUACGGAACGAAAAGCCUCUUUCUAAUAAAGAGGGGUCAUGACGGUACCGUAAGAAUAAGCACCGGCUAACUACGUG